UAUGCAUGUGUAUCAAGGUGGUCCAGGAGUACGAGCGAGCUGUCAUCUUCAGGCUCGGUCGUCUGCUAAAGGGCGGUGCCAAGGGACCAGGUAUCUUCUUCGUGGUCCCUUGCAUCGACUCCUACAGGAAGGUCGAUCUCCGAACCGUGUCAUUCGACGUGCCGCCACAAGAGGUAAAGUGCUAACGGUCCUUUUCCCCCGAGUGUCGUCGCGCGCGUGUUGUUAUUGUUUUUUCCCGCCAUUUUUUCUUUAUCCCUUCUCUCUUCGUCUUUUAAAUAUCCCCCCUCCCGCAUCUUCUUCGCGAGAGAUUCAGUAUUUUGCCGCUAGGGGGAAGGUUUUGGAUGAGAAACGGACUAUGAAAUCAUUCUAA